GGUUCCUACAGCCAUCAAGCUCCCUGAACGUGAAGAAUUUGGUCUCCAAGCUAUGCUCCCCGACUGGCCUGGACCUGGGCACCCCGCGGAUGGCAGCAGAGGCCGGCGGUCCAGCCCUGAGUGCUCAGGCCCUCAAGGAGAUGGCCAUGAGCACCAAGAGCAUUGCCCUCAUCGCGGCCACCCGGCGCUCCAAGGCGCAGGACCGCGAGGGUGGCAGCGGCCACUCCUCCCUCCACCUUCCGGAGGAGGUGGCCCUGGACUCCAGGGACCCGAAGGUCAGUGUCACCCCAAACCCGAGCCCAGCAGACCGGAGGCGGUCCCUUGCCAGCCCAGGCAGGGACUGCUCUGCAGAGAGGAAGCCCAGGAGGAAGCGGUCACCCUCCCUCACCUGGAGCGCACAGCCGGUGAUGGAGCCCGUGGCUGAGAGCCAGCUGCCCUUGGCACUCCCGCAGCUGACGAAGUCGUCCGGAAAGAGCUUCUUCCCUGCCGUCCCCACGGCCUCCAAGAGGAAACCCAGCCUGGGUGUCCACGCAGACGAGAAGAUGCCCCCGGUGCCUGAGGUCAGCUUCACCUUCCCCAGCGCCACGUGGCACAGCAGCCCGGGCCCGGGCAAGGCCCCGCUCCUGCCCCGGGACAUCCGAGGGGAACGCUGCCGCUCUUCCCCUGGUUGGGCGAGGCCCACCCGCGCUGUGGAGGGCCCUCUGGCGGACCCGAAGUCUCCUUGCUGGUAGAGAUGUUAAUCUCGUCUGAAGAACACCUUCGCAGCACCAUUUACACUGGUGUUUGACCUGACCCCUGGAUGCCGUGGCCCGGCCGAGUUGAUGCUCAAAUUAACCCUCACGCCCCACGAGGCCCAGCAGAUGGCGGCGUCCCAUCGCAGCCCGCGUCGGGGACGAGAGCACCCUCCAUUCCCGUGACCCCCGCACCCCCCACCGUGUUCUCACGGCCCUUCCCACACGCCGUGCAGCAGACACUGCAGCCAGCAGUUGGGAGACAGCCGUGUGCACUGCGAGCCCAGGAACCAAGGUUCUACCGUCUCAUCGGGAUAGAAAAGUCUGGGAAAGCCCGAGCCCCGUCCGUGGGCGCCCGGGCGUCGCCUCCUCCCGCUCUGCUCUCGG
rnacentral:lncRNA from 1 species